UACGUAGGUGGCAAGCGUUGUCCGGAUUUACUGGGCGUAAAGAGCGCGCAGGCGGUCGUUCAAGUCGCGUGUGCAAGCCCCCGGCUCAACUGGGGAGGGUCACGCGAUACUGAUCGACUGGAAGGCAGGAGAGGGUAGUGGAAUUCCCGGUGUAGUGGUGAAAUGCGUAGAUAUCGGGAGGAACACCAGUGGCGAAGGCGACUACCUGGCCUGUUCUUGACGCUGAGGCGCGAAAGCUAGGGGAGCAAACGGG
rnacentral:rRNA from 1 species